rnacentral:rRNA from 1 species
GCGGCGUGCUUAACACAUGCAAGUCGAACGAUGAAAGAGAAUCCGAUCUCUUCGGAGUGAAGAAUCUCUGGAUUAGUGGCGGACGGGUGAGUAACGCGUGAGCAAUCUGCCUUACACAAAGGGAUAACCUCGGGAAACCGGGAUUAAUACCAUAUGAUAUCUAUUAACCGCAUGGUUUAUAGAUUAAAGAAUUUCGGUGUAAGAUGAGCUCGCGUCCCAUUAAUUAGUUGGUGAGGGUAACGGCCCACCAAGAUAGCGAUGGGUAGCCGAUCUAAGAGGAUGACCGGCCACAUUGGAACUGAGAAACGGUCCAAACUCCUACGGGAGGCAGCAGUGGGGAAUAUUGCACAAUGGGGGAAACCCUGAUGCAGCGACGCCGCGUGAGCGAUGAAGGCUUUCGAGUCGUAAAGCUCUGUCCUAUGGGAAGAUAAUGACGUACCAUAGAAGAAGCCCCGGUA